UAGAGAUCUUCGGUUUACUUCAAGGUUAGGAGCACUGUAAAAGGUUAUGGGUACUAAGUUGAGAUUUAGUACCUCUUACCAUUCACAAACUAAUAGAUAGAUUGAGUGUACAAUAUAGACUCUGGAUGAAAUGCUUUGAUCAUGUGCUCUCGAAUGGAAAGGCAAUUGGGACAGUCAUUUGCCUUUAGCUAGAUUCGCCUACAAUAAUAGCUUCUAUUCAAGUAUUCAAAUGGCGCCUUAUGAAGCAUUAUAUGGGCGAAAGUAUAUAUCUCCUCUAUGUUGGGUGAUUGGUCCAGAUAUUGUGGAUCAAACGAUAGAGAAAAUCCAAGCUAUUAGGCAGAACUUUCUUACUGCCCAGAGCUAUUAGAAAAGUUAUGUUGAUAAGUAACGUCGACCAUUAGAUUGAGCCAAUUGCGUAACAAGGCUAUUCGAUUGGUAAAAGUGUUCUGAUGAGGAAUGGCUUUUGGUUUCGUAACGUGGGAGACGGAGGAGAAUAUAAGGAAGCAAUAACCUCAUUUGUUUUGUCCAUAAAGUGAGUUUUAACUAUAUUUGAAUUUUGGGGACAAAAUUCCUUUAUAGAAUUGUAACAUUCUAAAUUUCAAUUUAAAAAAAUAGUUAACUAAUCAGGGUUGGAUUAGUAAUCAGUGAAUUGAUUAUAGUCUCGAUGCUGAGUUGAUGUUUUUGUAUUGGUUGGUUGUUAUGUUAAGAGUAUUGAAGGGUAAAAUGACAAUCCAGGAUGUAACGUGCGAACAACAGUGAAAAUUGUCUCAUUAUGCCACGCGCCACGGCAUGUCUUGCAUGCAUCGCAACGCAUGGUAUAGAAUUUUGACAAGUUAAGUCGUGCUAGCUCGUGAAAUCAAAAGGGGAGAUUUAGAAAAACAUGCAUGAGAGGCAAAAAAGGCUUGGCUUUGUUAAGGCAUUCAUUUGCAAGAGCUUGGGAGUUUGCUUCGGCUAGUGACUUGUUGGAUUGAGCAUUUGUGUCAUUGCUCGUGAGAGUCUACACCCUUGGGAGCUUGGUGUGAUUAGCACCCUUAGUAAGAAGGGUAAAAAGGUGAAGAGAGCAUGAAAGGAUUGGAAAAGGAGGCAAGGAAAGAAUAGCCUCAAUUGGUAGUGGUAUGACUACUUUUGUGUAAUGAAUGUACAAAUGGAAUGUUAGAGAUUUAAGUUGCCAACUAAGAUGCAUAAGUAUAUGUAAAUAUGAAUAUGUGAAUGUAUAUUUAGUUUGUGAUUGAAAACUUACGUGUAUGUAAUAUUGCAUCUUGUCGAGUGUAUCACAAUAGUGAAUAUGUCGGUAGGCCAUGUAUCCAAGCAAGUUUGUAUUGCAUUGUAUAACUUGUUUCAUUUGUAUUGUAUGUAUUGUGUAUUUGUGGAAAACAUAACCAAAUGGUGAGGCUUGGCCUCAUUUGUGA